rnacentral:rRNA from 1 species
UUGGUCAUUUAGAGGAAGUAAAAGUCGUAACAAGGUUUCCGUAGGUGAACCUGCGGAAGGAUCAUUACCUAGAGUUGUAGGCUUUGCCUGCUAUCUCUUACCCAUGUCUUUUGAGUACCUUCGUUUCCUCGGCGGGUCCGCCCGCCGAUUGGACAUAUUCAAACCCUUUGCAGUUGCAAUCAGCGUCUGAACAAACUUAAUAGUUACAACUUUCAACAACGGAUCUCUUGGUUCUGGCAUCGAUGAAGAACGCAGCGAAAUGCGAUAAGUAGUGUGAAUUGCAGAAUUCAGUGAAUCAUCGAAUCUUUGAACGCACAUUGCGCCCCUUGGUAUUCCAUGGAGCAUGCCUGUUCGAGCGUCAUUUGUACCUUCAAGCUUUGCUUGGUGUUGGGUGUUUGUCUCGCCUCUGCGCGCAGACUCGCCUCAAAACAAUUGGCAGCCGGCGUAUUGAUUUCGGAGCGCAGUACAUCUCGCGCUUUGCACUCAUAACGACGACGAUCCAAAAGUACAUUUUUACACUCUUGACCUCGGAUCAGGUAGGGAUACCCGCUGAACUUAAGCAUAUCAAUAAG